CUGAUCCUUUUGUUACUUGGGUGUGGAGAGGUGGGGUUUUUCUUUUGAUUCAGUUCUAGGAAGUCAACAGCGUGAUCUCAGCUCACUGCAGCCUCGACUUCCCUGGGCUCAAGUGAUCCUCCUGCCUCAGCCUCCCAAGCAGCUGGUACUAUAAGUGCAUACCACCACGCCCUGGUAAUUUUUGUAUUUUUCGUAGAGACAGGGUCUUACUAUGUUGCCCAGGCUGGUCUCGAACUCCUGGACUCAAGUGAUCCACCUGCCUCAGCCUUCCAAAGUGUUGGAACUACAGGCGUGAGCCACUGCGCUGGGCCAGAAAACACAUUUUUAAAUUUUUUUUGUUUGAUAUAAGUUUAACAUAUCCAUGAGACCUGACUUCAGCUACCUGCACCUUAAGAAUAGAAACUGGAUUUUAAACUCAGUUUUGUACAUCAUGAGGAAUUGGUCUGGUAGAGUUCCAGACUGGAACUGGAGCUGGUUGGAACCAGAAGCUGAAAAACUGGUGGUUGGGGGUCUCGUGACUGA
rnacentral:lncRNA from 1 species